rnacentral:misc_RNA from 1 species
GAACUUGAGAUAAUGCUG